AGAGUUUGAUUCUGGCUCAGAGUGAACGCUGGCGGCGUGGUUCAGACAUGCAAGUCGAGCGAGGGUAGCAAUACCUUAGCGGCGAACGGGUGCGUAACACGCGAGCAACCUACCGUGAAGUUGGGGAUAGCCCGCCGAAAGGUGGAUUAAUACCGAAUGUGGCGAGGAACCGCAUGGUUCCUUUGCUAAAGCUUGUAAUGGCGCUUCAUGAGGGGCUCACGGCCUAUCAGCUUGUUGGCGGGGUAACGGCCCACCAAGGCAAAGACGGGUAGCUGAUCUGAGAGGAUGAUCAGCCACACUGGAACUGAGAUACGGUCCAGACACCUACGGGUGGCAGCAGUUUCGAAUCAUUCACAAUGGGCGCAAGCCUGAUGGUGCGACGCCGCGUGGGGGAUGAAGGUCUUCGGAUUGUAAACCCCUGUCAUUUGGGAGUAAACCCUGCAUGCAUAAUGCAGGCUGAAUUAACCAGAAGAGGAAGCAGUGGCUAACUCCGUGCCAGCAGCCGCGGUAAUACGGAGACUGCGAGCGUUACUCGGAUUUACUGGGCGUAAAGGGUCCGCAGGCGGCCACGUGUGUCGGGUGUGAAAUCCCACGGCUUAACCGUGGAACUGCGCCCGAAACUACGUGGCUAGAGGCUCGGAGAGGGUAGUGGAAUUCCUGGUGUAGCGGUGAAAUGCGUAGAUAUCAGGAGGAACACCAACGGCGAAGGCAGCUACCUGGACGAGUUCUGACGCUCAUGGACGAAAGCGUGGGGAGCAAAAGGGAUUAGAUACCCCUGUAGUCCACGCCCUAAACUUUGUGCAUUAGGUAUUGGGGGAUUCGACCCCCUCAGUGCCCAAGCUAACGCGAUAAAUGCACCGCCUGAGGACUACGGCCGCAAGGCUAAAACUCAAAGAAAUUGACGGGGCCCCGCACAAGCAGUGGAGUAUGUGGCUUAAUUCGAUGCAACGCGAAGAACCUUACCAAGAUUUGACAUGCAGGAGACAGGAGCUGAAAGGCUCUCUUCCUUCGGGACUGCUGCACAGGUGCUGCAUGGCUGUCGUCAGCUCGUGUCGUGAGAUGUUCGGUUAAGUCCGGCAACGAGCGCAACCCCUGUCCUUAGUUGCCAGCAUUCAGUUGGGUACUCUAGGGAGACUAACCCUUUUAAGGGUGGGAAGGUGGGGAUGACGUCAAGUCAGUAUGGCCCUUACAUCUUGGGCUGCACACGUACUACAAUGCCAAGUACAAUGGGUUCCGAUACCGCGAGGUGGAGGUAAUCCCCAAAGCUUGGCCCAGUUCAGAUCGGAGUCUGCAACCCGACUCCGUGAAGCCGGAAUUGCUAGUAAUGGUACAUCAGCAACGGUACCGUGAAUACGUUCCCGGGGCUUGUACACACCGCCCGUCACAUCAUGAAAGCCGGUUUCGCCCGAAGUACAUGCGUCAACCCGCAAGGGAGGCAGUGUCCUAAGGCAAGGCUGGUGAUUGGGAUGAAGUCGUAACAAGGUAGCCGUAGGGGAACCUGCGGCUG
rnacentral:rRNA from 1 species